rnacentral:rRNA from 1 species
UACAGAGGUCUCAAGCGUUGUUCGGAUUCAUUGGGCGUAAAGGGUGCGUAGGCGGCGCGGUAAGUCGGGUGUGAAAUCUCGGAGCUUAACUCCGAAACUGCAUUCGAUACUGCCGUGCUUGAGGACUGGAGAGGAGACUGGAAUUUACGGUGUAGCGGUGAAAUGCGUAGAUAUCGUAAGGAAGACCAGUGGCGGAGGCGGGUCUCUGGACAGUUCCUGACGCUGAGGCACGAAGGCCCAGGGGAGCAAACGGG